rnacentral:rRNA from 1 species
AACGAACGCUGGCGGCAGGCUUAACACAUGCAAGUCGAGCGCCCCGCAAGGGGAGCGGCAGACGGGUGAGUAACACGUGGGGAUCUGCCCAAUGGUACGGAAUAGCUCCGGGAAACUGGAAAUAAUACCGUAUGUGCCCGCAAGGGGAAAGAUUUAUCGCCAUUGGAUGAACCCGCGUCGGAUUAGCUAGUUGGUGAGGUAAAGGCUCACCAAGGCGACGAUCCGUAGCUGGUCUGAGAGGAUGAUCAGCCACACUGGGACUGAGACACGGCCCAGACUCCUACGGGAGGCAGCAGUGGGGAAUAUUGGACAAUGGGCGCAAGCCUGAUCCAGCCAUGCCGCGUGAGUGAUGAAGGCCUUAGGGUUGUAAAGCUCUUUCGCCGACGAAGAUAAUGACGGUAGUCGGAGAAGAAGCCCCGGCUAACUUCGUGCCAGCCGCCGCCGUAAUAC